rnacentral:rRNA from 1 species
AUUGAACGCUGGCGGCAGGCCUAACACAUGCAAGUCGAACGGUAACAGGAAGCUGCUUGCUGCUUUGCUGGCGAGUGGCGGACGGGUGAGUAAUGUCUGGGAAACUUCCCGAUGGAGGGGGAUAACUACUGGAAACGGUUGCUAAUACCGCAUAACGUCGCAAGACCAAAGAGGGGGACCUUAGGGGCUCUUGCCAUCGGCUGUGCCCAGAUGGGAUUAGCUAGUAGGUGGGGUAACGGCUCACCUAGGCGACGAUCUCUAGCUGGUCUGAGAGGAUGACCAGCCACACUGGAACUGAGACACGGUCCAGACUCCUACGGGAGGCAGCAGUGGGGAAUAUUGCACAAUGGGCGCAAGCCUGAUGCAGCCAUGCCGCGUGUAUGAAGAAGGCCUUCGGGUUGUAAAGUACUUUCAGCGGGGAGGAAGGGAGUAAAGUUAAUACCUUUGCUCAUUGACGUUACCCGCAGAAGAAGCACCGGCUAACUCCGUG